GAAUUUACAAGCUUACAGUCUGAAGUCAGGAAAAUGUCCAAAUCAAUCCAUCAUCAAGACCAUGCUUUCUUCCUGAAGACUGGCUGCUGGCGAUCCUUAACUCCUUGGCCAUAAGCAAGCUCCUGGUCAAGAAAGAAGGGGGAGAUGAAGACAGCAUGAAGGCAGAGGAAAGAGCAGUUACCGUCUCGCCAUAACUUCAAAUGUAACAAGAUGAACAGAUUUCAAUGUACUAAGAGAAUUUGCAAUUUGAGGAUAUUGGGGCCAAGGAACAAAUCCAAAAUCUUUUCCUGGAACCAAGUCUUCGUUCUCAUUCCAGUUUCCAAGUCUUGGAUCUUCCUCUCAGCUGAAGGAAUAAGCCAAACUCUUUUUAUAUACCACCCACAUUCUUGGUGUCAGAACAGAGAAGCGUUUCCUGAGGAGUUCGUCGAAGUUACCCAUUCGUUUCCUGAAUUUAUAGAACACUUUCGUCAAAGAUCCCAGUUCAUUUCCUGAGGAGUUUGUUGAAGUUGCCAGUUUGUUUCCUGAGGAGUUCAUCGGACAUCUUCAUUGGAGUUGCCAGUUUGC